rnacentral:rRNA from 1 species
CGAUAUCGACGUAGUUUGACUCCUGGCUACGAGAACGAACGCUGGCGGCAGGCUUAACACAUGCAAGUCGAGCGCACCUUCGGGUGAGCGGCGGACGGGUGAGUAACGCGUGGGAACGUACCUUUCUCUACGGAAUAGCCUCGGGAAACUGAGAGUAACACCGUAUACGCCCUUCGGGGGAAAGAUUUAUCGGAGAGAGAUCGGCCCGCGUCUGAUUAGGUAGUUGGUGGGGUAAUGGCCCACCAAGCCGACGAUCAGUAGCUGGUUUGAGAGGAUGAUCAGCCACACUGGGACUGAGACACGGCCCAGACUCCUACGGGAGGCAGCAGUGGGGAAUAUUGCGCAAUGGGCGAAAGCCUGACGCAGCGACGCCGCGUGGGGAUGAAGGUUUUCGGAUUGUAAACCCCUUUCAUGAGGAAAGAUAAAGUGGGUAACCACUUAGACGGUACCUCAAGAAGAAGCCACGGCUAACUUCGUG